UACGAGGGGGGCAAAUGUUGUUCGGAAUCACUGGGCGUAAAGGGAGCGUAGGCGGGUGCUUAAGUUAGGUGUUUAAUCCUGGGGCCCAACCCCAGUCGUGCACCUAAAACUGGACAUCUUGAAUAGUGGAGAGGUCAGUGGAAUUGGGGGUGUAGCGGUGGAAUGCGUAGAGAUCCCCAAGAACACCAGUUGCGAAGGCGGCUGACUGGACACAUAUUGACGCUGAGGCUCGAAAGCAUGGGGAGCAAACAGG
rnacentral:rRNA from 1 species